rnacentral:rRNA from 1 species
CCUACGGGAGGCAGCAGUGGGGAAUAUUGCACAAUGGGGGAAACCCUGAUGCAGCAACGCCGCGUGAGGGAAGACGGUUUUCGGAUUGUAAAGUUCUGUUAGUAGGGAAGAAAAUGAAGGUAACUGAUUAAGAAGCCCCGGCUAACUACGUUCCAGCAGCCGCGGGAAGACGGAGGGGGCCAGCGUUAUCCGGAAUUACUGGGUGUAAAGGGUGCGAAGGCGGGAGGACAAGUCAGGAGUGAAAAGCUGGGGCUUAACCCGGAGACUGUAGUUGAAAAUGGGUAUCUUGAGUGAAGGAGAGGUAAGUGGAAUUCCGAGUGUAGCGGUGAAAUGCGUAGAUAUUAGGAGGAACACCAGUGGCGAAGGCGGCUUACUGGACUGUAACUGACGCUGAGGCUCGAAAGCGUGGGGAGCAAACAGGAUUAGAUACCCCGGUAGUC